CCAUCUUGAAAACGGAAAAUAAAAACAGCAGACCUAUGAAGGUCAAAGGGGAAGUUAAGAAAAGCUGUAUCGAUUGUUGAGAUCUGGCGACUUGCUUAAAUUUCAUCAGCCUCACUUCUAUGGACUCUCAGGACAAACUGCAAUAGAGUCGCAUCCAGUUGAGACUUCUCCAAGGGCCGUGGGGUUGACAUCUGUGGUCUCAGGCCUCACGUGUACCAGCUCUCUGCUCUCCUUUGCCUUGGGACGUUCCAUCCCUGGAAGUUUCCCUGCCCACAUCUUUGUAGAGAGUCCAUUCUCCAAGCUUCAGUGUGUCAUCUGUUAGGACUAUGACCCACCUGGUACAUUACCUCAGGGCAUUCAUUUCAGGCUCCUUCUAAGUGGUCAAGACAGAGUCCUGCUCUGUCACCCAGGCUGGAGUGCAGUGGCAUGAUCCUGGCUCAUUGCAACCUCUGCCUCCCGGAUUCAAGCGAUUUUCAUAUAUCAGCCUCCCAAGUAGCUGGGAUUACAGGCGUGGGCCCCUGUGCCCCCCACCACUUCUGGUAAACCUCAGGUUCUCCUCCUGCCUUUUGCUAAGUAUAUGUCUUGAUGACAAGCCUUCUGCUAAUGAGCUGUGUUUCUGGACCGAUCAUGGUAGAAGUCAAUUGAAGUGUCCCUCACUUGGGGUUUCUUAAGGCUGCACUGAUGAGGAAACUGAAACAGAAAAUCCAGAGUAAAUUCCACCAGGCCACACAGCAAGGUCUGAUAGAGCCAGGAGAGACUUUAUGAAAUCCAGACUCUCACACUAAUGCUCUAUCAGCUAGACCUCCAUGUGAGUCUCCCCAAUGUAGGUAGGAAGCACUUUCC
rnacentral:lncRNA from 1 species